UACGGGGGGGGCAAGCGUUGUUCGGAAUUACUGGGCGUAAAGGGCUCGUAGGCGGCCAACUAAGUCAGACGUGAAAUCCCUCGGCUUAACCGGGGAACUGCGUCUGAUACUGGAUGGCUUGAGAUUGGGAGAGGGAUGCGGAAUUCCAGAUGUAGCGGUGAAAUGCGUAGAUAUCUGGAGGAACACCGGUGGCGAAGGCGGCAUCCUGGACCAACACUGACGCUGAGGAGCGAAAGCCAGGGGAGCAAACGGG
rnacentral:rRNA from 1 species